rnacentral:tRNA from 1 species
GCUUCUGUAGUGUAGUUCGGUCAAGCAUGCGAGGCUCUCACCCUCGCGACCCGGGUUCAAAUCCCGGCAGAAGCA